UGAUGAUGAUGAUAAUGAUGAUGAUGAUGAUGACGAUAACGACGACGAUGAUGAUGAUGAUGAUGAUGAUCAUCAUCAUCAUCAUAAUAAUAA
rnacentral:pre_miRNA from 1 species